CAUCGAACAAAAGCAGAAUGAAAGAAGAACUUUGCCCUUGAUUGUUUUAGUUGUUUCAGACGAUAUUUGACGUCACGCGUGACGCGAAAACCGAGAAUUCGAUUCUAAACCUCAACUAAAACGAGAAAAUGAAACUAAUAGUAGAAAAGUUUUUCUUUAGAAGUUUUUUUUUCCUGAUAUAAAUACAGUGUUAGGGAAUUUAUAUUAUAUGUCAUGUCCGACUGCGUGAAUGAUUUGGAAGUGACUAUGAUCAAAUAAAAAGUCUUUUGGACUCUCAAUUCAUCAAAUCAAGAGUGAAAGAGAAACUUUACCUUGUUAGUUUUCAUUGUUUUUUGACGACAUUCGACGUCAUAGCUGAAACAAGAACCGAGAGUUGAAUUUGAAACUUUAAAUAAAAAAGUGAAAAUGAAACUAAUAGUAGAAAAGUCUUUCUUUAAGAUGAUUUCUUUCUUCAUAUACAGUAACUGCUGUCAUGAAAGUAACUGCUGUCAAGAAAAAAGUUUAUUGGAUUCUCAAUUCAUUAAGCAAAAACAGAGUGAAAAAGAAACUUUACCUUGUUAGUUUCAAUUGUUUGAGACGACAUACGAAGUCACAGCCGAAACAAAAACCCAGAGUUACAUUCUAAACCUCAACUAAAAGUUAAAAUGAAACUUAUAAUAGAAAAGUGUUUCUUUAGAAGAGUUUUUCCUGAUAGAAUGAGUAAAUGAUCUGGCUAGCAAGAAAAAAGAAGGUACAGCAGAUGGCAACAGGUAUAAUCAUUUAACAUACUCAGUACAUAUUUAUGCUUAAUUGAAAAAUUUAUUUCUACAUUCUUAGUCUAAAAAAAUCUUUGAAAUAUUGAAAUAAAUCUGCAAUAUAUCACCAUUGAUGAAUUUAAACGAACCCUUAAGAGUUUACAACAAGAUUAGCAAGUUUUUAACAACUUAUGGUUUUCACCAUGCUUUAUUGAAUAUUGAAUCUGUAAUAUUCAUUUGUAUCCAUUGAUGUAUUCUAACAAACCUUUAAAAGUCUUACAACAAGGUUAGCAGGUUUUUAACAACUGAUGAUUUUAUAUGGUUUUAACCAUAAUUUUAUUGAAUACUGACCCUAUAAUAUCCAUCUAUAAUACAUUGAUGCAUUUUAACAAACCCUUAAGAGCUUACAACAAGGCUAGCAAGAUUUUAAGAGCUGAUGUUUUUAACCAUGAUUUUAUUGAAUAUUGAAUCUGUUUUAUCCAUUGAGGUAAUUUAACAAAACCU